rnacentral:lncRNA from 1 species
AGGCCCCUUCUUGAUCAUCGCUGGUACGGAUGAGAGCGGCAGUGGGCAUUUGGAAAGCACCUGGGGCCGCGCCCGGGCGCAGUGCCCCCAUGUGGCCUCCCACCCCGGGCGGGCAGGACGAUUCCUGCCCAUCUGGAAGACCAGGAACCUGCGCGUUCACAGGGUUCGGAAGCCCGGGCUGCGCCUUCCCGCGGGGCCGGCUGCCGGGCUGGGGGCUCUUCCCGCCUCUGCAUGCACAGAGCCCGCGGUGCACGAACCUGCUCCCCGCCAGCCCCGCGGACUGGCAGGGCCGCUCUGGAGUCACCCGCGCCCGCUCCGCAGUGCGCAAACUCACUUCGCAGCGGGCUCUCCCGGGGCCAGCCCUUCCCUCCUGGGCGGGCAUUUUCACCUCCAGGUACAAGGGGGUGGUCCCCAGAGGAGGACUCAGGGGCUUAAGGAGAAGCUGAGGCCCGGUCCUCUGGCCUCAACGACUGCACAUUCUCGCCGCCUGCUUCACUUCUUAGAGCCUUGGAGGUAGGCAUGGCCUCCCUAUCCCCUCAGCUAGGCCUGUGGGUAGAAUAACAUACAGUCCCUUAUUCUCCAAUUAAAAAUGGGAACACAGAAUAUGACACAGGAACCCAUGCAAACAAAGGGAUAGAGCAUUUGAAAUAAAAAUGCCAAGGAGGGUGAGGUGAGCGGUUGUCAGAGAGGUGGAACCGGAAGACUGGCAGUUGGUCUGGAGUCCCCUUCCCAGGAAGGACACAGAGAAGGCAAGGUCCCUGUCUGGUCCUUCAGGGCUCCAUAUGGAUUUGUGUGCCCAAGAGGCCGGAUCCCUUGGGCCAGGUGCCC